rnacentral:tRNA from 1 species
CCCGUGAUAGCUCAGUUGGUAGAGCGGAGGACUGUAGAGUGAAAAUUACUAGCUAUCCUUAGGUCGGUGGUUCAAAUCCGCCUCGCGGGA